rnacentral:rRNA from 1 species
UCCUACGGGGGGCAGCAGUGGGGAAUAUUGCACAAUGGGCGCAAGCCUGAUGCAGCGACGCCGCGUGCGGGAUGGAGGCCUUCGGGUUGUAAACCGCUUUUGUUCAAGGGCAAGGCACGGUCUUUGGCCGUGUUGAGUGGAUUGUUCGAAUAAGCACCGGCUAACUCCGUGCCAGCAGCCGCGGUUAUACGUAGGGUGCAAGCGUUAUCCGGAUUUAUUGGGCGUAAAGGGCUCGUAGGUGGUUUGUGACGUCCGGGGUGUAAGCC